AGUGAACGCUGGCGGCGUGCCUAAUACAUGCAAGUCGAACGGAGUGGCGCACGGGAGAGUAAUUCAUAGCUAAUCUGCCCCUUGCUGGAGGACAACAGUUAGAAAUGACUGCUAAUACCUCAUAGGAAGGGAUGAGACUAUAUCGUAUCAGCGAAUAGGUGGGGUAACGGUCUACCGAGGCGAUGACGCGUAACUGGUCUGCGAGGAUGAUCAGUCACAUUGGAAUGGAGACGCGGUACAAACUCCUACGAGAGGCAGCAGUAGGGAAUAUUGCGCAAUGGGGGAAGCGCUGACGCAGCAACGCCGCGUGGAGGAUGACACUUUUCAGAGCAUAAAGUACUUUUGUUAGGGAAGCGGUACCUAACGAAUAAGCACCGGCUAACUCCGUGCCAGCAGCCGCGGUAAUUC
rnacentral:rRNA from 1 species